rnacentral:tRNA from 2 species
UCCUGGUUAGUUCAGUUGGUCGAGCGUUCCACUGGAAAUGAAGAAGUCUCUGGAUUGAUACCAGAACCAGGUG